rnacentral:rRNA from 1 species
CAUGUCCUUUUGAUUAUAAUUUAAGGUUUAAUCUGCACAAUGAAAAUUAAAUUGCCGCAGUAUUUUGACUGUGCAAAGGUAGCAUAAUAAAUAGUUCCUUGAUUAGGAACUGGAAUGAAUGAUUGGACGAGAUGAUUUCUGUCUCUUAUUAAUGGAUUUUUGAAUUUUAUUUUUAAGUUAAAAAGCUUAAAUUGUUAUGAAAGACGAGAAGACCCUAUAGAGUUUUAUAUCUUAAGUGAAUUUUAUAUUAGAAAUAUUUUUUUUAGUUUAGGUAUUUAGUUGGGGUGACUUGGAGAUUAGAUAAAUUCUUUAAUUUUUUAAUUGAUUAUUAUUAAUUUUCUUAGCUAGAUUUUUUAAAUUUAAAAUUAAUUACCUUAGGGAUAACAGCGUAAUUUUUCUUUAAAGUUCUUAUUAAAAGGAAGUUUUGCGACCUCGAUGUUGGAUUAAAAUAAAUUUUUGGUGCAGUAACUUAAAAAUUAGGUCUGUUCGACCUUUAAUAUU